rnacentral:rRNA from 1 species
UAGGGAAUCUUCCACAAUGGACGAAAGUCUGAUGGAGCAACGCCGCGUGAGUGAAGAAGGAUUUCGGUUCGUAAAACUCUGUUGUAAGGGAAGAACAAGUACAGUAGUAACUGGCUGUACCUUGACGGUACCUUAUUAGAAAGCCACGGCUAACUACGUGCCAGCAGCCGCGGUAAUACGUAGGUGGCAAGCGUUGUCCGGAAUUAUUGGGCGUAAAGCGCGCGCAGGCGGUCCUUUAAGUCUGAUGUGAAAGCCCACGGCUCAACCGUGGAGGGUCAUUGGAAACUGGGGGACUUGAGUGCAGGAGAGGAAAGUGGAAUUCCAAGUGUAGCGGUGAAAUGCGUAGAGAUUUGGAGGAAAACAAGUGGCGAAGGGGAGUUUCUGGUCUGUAACUGACGCUGAGGCGCGAAAGCGUGGGGAGCAAACAGG